AGCAAGGCAGCGGUUGAUAAACACCCUCGGUGUAAGGAGCGGUGAAACACAGAAUCCACGCAUAUUUCUGGGAACGCGACCAGCUCCUUGUCAGUAGCCCCAGCACAGGACGUGGGUGUGCGAGUACUGGCACACGGGGGCAUACACGAACGCUCAUGGCACACACAGCCCACACCCAAUCCACACUCCGGUUUCUCACAAAGCCCAGACUGGGCUGUCUGUCACGGCCAGCAAUAGCACUGAGUGGACAGAAAAGGAGCCACAGAAGUGGCUGGGCCAGUGAACCA
ensembl:lncRNA